GUAUAAGCGAUGAAGGAGAAAAGUAACGUAGAUGAGUUGCCCAGAGAAUCGGCGGGUGGUGUGAGCCGAUGAACUCGUCCACGUGAAUGGGCUCUGGAGUUUGUCAUCCCGAAGAACCCGUAGUGGUUAAGGGAAGACCGGCAGCUGGCCGAUAACCAGUUUAAGUGUGCUCCGUUGAUACGGAGUGAAUGUUGGGUGGUACCGCGAGUAAAACUCGUCCCGAUC
rnacentral:ncRNA from 1 species